AGAGUUUGAUCAUGGCUCAGAUUGAACGCUGGCGGCAUGCCUUACACAUGCAAGUCGAACGGUAACGGGCCUUCGGGUGCCGACGAGUGGCGAACGGGUGAGUAAUGUAUCGGAACGUACCUUUCAGUGGGGGAUAACGUAGCGAAAGUUACGCUAAUACCGCAUAUUCUGUGAGCAGGAAAGCAGGGGAUCGCAAGACCUUGCGCUGAUUGAGCGGCCGAUAUCAGAUUAGCUAGUUGGUGAGGUAAAGGCUCACCAAGGCGACGAUCUGUAGCGGGUCUGAGAGGAUGAUCCGCCACACUGGAACUGAGACACGGUCCAGACUCCUACGGGAGGCAGCAGUGGGGAAUUUUGGACAAUGGGGGCAACCCUGAUCCAGCCAUGCCGCGUGAGUGAAGAAGGCCUUCGGGUUGUAAAGCUCUUUCGGCCGGGAAGAAAUCGUAUGGGUUAAUACCCUGUGCGGAUGACGGUACCGGCAUAAGAAGCACCGGCUAACUACGUG
rnacentral:rRNA from 1 species